rnacentral:rRNA from 1 species
AUUGAACGUUGGCGGCAUGCUUUACACAUGCAAGUCGAACGGCAGCGCGGGGGCAACCCUGGCGGCGAGUGGCGAACGGGUGAGUAAUGCAUCGGAACGUAUCCUGUAAUGGGGGAUAACUAAUCGAAAGAUUAGCUAAUACCGCAUACGCUCGGGAGAGGAAAGUGGGGGAUCGCAAGGCCUCACGUUAUAGGAGCGGCCGAUGUCUGAUUAGCUAGUUGGUGAGGUAAAGGCUCACCAAGGCGACGAUCAGUAGCUGGUCUUAGAGGAUGAUCAGGCACACUGGGACUGAGACACGGCCCAGACUCCUACGGGAGGCAGCAGUGGGGAAUUUUGGACAAUGGGGGCAACCCUGAUCCAGCCAUGCCGCGUGCGGGAAGAAGGCCUUCGGGUUGUAAACCGCUUUAGUCUAGGAAAAAGGAAUGCAGGAUUAAUACCCUUGUGUUUUGAUGGUACUGGAAGAAUAAGCACCGGCUAACUACGUGCCAGCAGCCGCCGUAA